UACAGAGGUCCCAAGCGUUGUUCGGAUUCAUUGGGCGUAAAGGGUGCGUAGGCGGCGUGGUAAGUCGGAUGUGAAAUCUCGGAGCUUAACUCCGAAACUGCAUUCGAUACUGCCGUGCUUGAGGACUGGAGAGGAGACUGGAAUUUACGGUGUAGCGGUGAAAUGCGUAGAUAUCGUAAGGAAGACCAGUGGCGAAGGCGGGUCUCUGAACAGUUCCUGACGCUGAGGCACGAAGGCCAGGGGAGCAAACGGG
rnacentral:rRNA from 1 species